GGGUUGUGAGGUUAAGCGACUAAGCGUACACGGUGGAUGCCCUGGCAGUCAGAGGCGAUGAAGGACGUGCUAAUCUGCGAAAAGCGUCGGUAAGGUGAUAUGAACCGUUAUAACCGGCGAUGUCCGAAUGGGGAAACCCAGUGCAAUUCGUUGCACUAUCGUUAACUGAAUACAUAGGUUAACGAGGCGAACCGGGGGAACUGAAACAUCUAAGUACCCCGAGGAAAAGAAAUCAACCGAGAUUCCCCCAGUAGCGGCGAGCGAACGGGGAGCAGCCCAGAGUCUGAAUCAGCUUGUGUGUUAGUGGAACGGUCUGGAAAGUCCGACGGUACAGGGUGAUAGUCCCGUACACCAAAAUGCACAGGUUGUGAACUCGAAGAGUAGGGCGGGACACGUGGUAUCCUGUCUGAAUAUGGGGGGACCAUCCUCCAAGGCUAAAUACUCCUGACUGACCGAUAGUGAACCAGUACCGUGAGGGAAAGGCGAAAAGAACCCCGGCGAGGGGAGUGAAAAAGAACCUGAAACCGUGUACGUACAAGCAGUGGGAGCACCUUCGGGUGUGACUGCGUACCUUUUGUAUAAUGGGUCAGCGACUUAUAUUCUGUAGCAAGGUUAACCGUAUAGGGGAGCCGCAGGGAAACCGAGUCUUAACUGGGCGUUAAGUUGCAGGGUAUAGACCCGAAACCCGGUGAUCUAGCCAUGGGCAGGUUGAAGGUUGGGUAACACUAACUGGAGGACCGAACCGACUAAUGUUGAAAAAUUAGCGGAUGACUUGUGGCUGGGGGUGAAAGGCCAAUCAAACCGGGAGAUAGCUGGUUCUCCCCGAAAGCUAUUUAGGUAGCGCCUCGUGAACUCAUCUUCGGGGGUAGAGCACUGUUUCGGCUAGGGGGUCAUCCCGACUUACCAACCCGAUGCAAACUACGAAUACCGAAGAAUGUUAUCACGGGAGACACACGGCGGGUGCUAACGUCCGUCGUGAAGAGGGAAACAACCCAGACCGCCAGCUAAGGUCCCAAAGUCAUGGUUAAGUGGGAAACGAUGUGGGAAGGCACAGACAGCCAGGAUGUUGGCUUAGAAGCAGCCAUCAUUUAAAGAAAGCGUAAUAGCUCACUGGUCGAGUCGGCCUGCGCGGAAGAUGUAACGGGGCUAAACCAUGCACCGAAGCUGCGGCAGCGACACUAUGUGUUGUUGGGUAGGGGAGCGUUCUGUAAGCCUGCGAAGGUGUGCUGUGAGGCAUGCUGGAGGUAUCAGAAGUGCGAAUGCUGACAUAAGUAACGAUAAAGCGGGUGAAAAGCCCGCUCGCCGGAAGACCAAGGGUUCCUGUCCAACGUUAAUCGGGGCAGGGUGAGUCGACCCCUAAGGCGAGGCCGAAAGGCGUAGUCGAUGGGAAACAGGUUAAUAUUCCUGUACUUGGUGUUACUGCGAAGGGGGGACGGAGAAGGCUAUGUUAGCCGGGCGACGGUUGUCCCGGUUUAAGCAUGUAGGCUGGUUAUCCAGGCAAAUCCGGAUAAUCAAGGCUGAGGUGUGAUGACGAGGCACUACGGUGCUGAAGUAACAAAUGCCCUGCUUCCAGGAAAAGCCUCUAAGCAUCAGGUAACAUCAAAUCGUACCCCAAACCGACACAGGUGGUCAGGUAGAGAAUACCAAGGCGCUUGAGAGAACUCGGGUGAAGGAACUAGGCAAAAUGGUGCCGUAACUUCGGGAGAAGGCACGCUGGUGUGUAGGUGAAGCCCCUGCGGGUGGAGCUGAGACCAGUCGAAGAUACCAGCUGGCUGCAACUGUUUAUUAAAAACACAGCACUGUGCAAACACGAAAGUGGACGUAUACGGUGUGACGCCUGCCCGGUGCCGGAAGGUUAAUUGAUGGGGUUAUCCGUAAGGAGAAGCUCUUGAUCGAAGCCCCGGUAAACGGCGGCCGUAACUAUAACGGUCCUAAGGUAGCGAAAUUCCUUGUCGGGUAAGUUCCGACCUGCACGAAUGGCGUAAUGAUGGCCAGGCUGUCUCCACCCGAGACUCAGUGAAAUUGAACUCGCUGUGAAGAUGCAGUGUACCCGCGGCAAGACGGAAAGACCCCGUGAACCUUUACUAUAGCUUGACACUGAACAUUGAGCCUUGAUGUGUAGGAUAGGUGGGAGGCUUUGAAGCGUGGACGCCAGUCUGCGUGGAGCCAACCUUGAAAUACCACCCUUUAAUGUUUGAUGUUCUAACGUUGGCCCCUGACCGGGGUUGCGGACAGUGUCUGGUGGGUAGUUUGACUGGGGCGGUCUCCUCCCAAAGCGUAACGGAGGAGCACGAAGGUUAGCUAAUCCUGGUCGGACAUCAGGAGGUUAGUGCAAUGGCAUAAGCUAGCUUGACUGCGAGCGUGACGGCGCGAGCAGGUGCGAAAGCAGGUCAUAGUGAUCCGGUGGUUCUGAAUGGAAGGGCCAUCGCUCAACGGAUAAAAGGUACUCCGGGGAUAACAGGCUGAUACCGCCCAAGAGUUCAUAUCGACGGCGGUGUUUGGCACCUCGAUGUCGGCUCAUCACAUCCUGGGGCUGAAGUAGGUCCCAAGGGUAUGGCUGUUCGCCAUUUAAAGUGGUACGCGAGCUGGGUUUAGAACGUCGUGAGACAGUUCGGUCCCUAUCUGCCGUGGGCGCUGGAGAAUUGAGGGGGGCUGCUCCUAGUACGAGAGGACCGGAGUGGACGCAUCACUGGUGUUCGGGUUGUCAUGCCAAUGGCACUGCCCGGUAGCUAAAUGCGGAAGAGAUAAGUGCUGAAAGCAUCUAAGCACGAAACUUGCCCCGAGAUGAGUUCUCCCUGAGACUUUAAGUCUCCUGAAGGAACGUUAAAGACGAUGACGUUGAUAGGCCGGGUGUGUAAGCGCAGCGAUGCGUUGAGCUAACCGGUACUAAUGAACCGUGAGGCUUAACCUUACAACGCCGAAG
rnacentral:rRNA from 1 species